GCAUGGUUGGUUUAGUGGCAUAAUUACCGCCUGCCAAUUGCAGGAGACCGCGGUAGACCCGGGUUCGAUUCCCGGACCAUGCA